GUGGGGAAUAUUGCACAAUGGGGGAAACCCUGAUGCAGCAACGCCGCGUGAGUGAAGAAGUAUCUCGGUAUGUAAAGCUCUAUCAGCAGGGAAGAAAAAAGACGGUACCUGACUAAGAAGCCCCGGCUAACUACGUGCCAGCAGCCGCGGUAAUACGUAGGGGGCGAGCGUUAUCCGGAUUUACUGGGUGUAAAGGGAGCGUAGACGGCAUAGCAAGUCUGAAGUGAAAGCCCGCGGCUCAACCGCGGAACCGCUUUGGAAACUGUUAGGCUGGAGUGCUGGAGAGGCAAGCGGAAUUCCUAGUGUAGCGGUGAAAUGCGUAGAUAUUAGGAGGAACACCAGUGGCGAAGGCGGCUUGCUGGACAGUGACUGACGUUGAGGCUCGAAAGCGUGGGGAGCAAACAGGAUUAGAAACCCUAGUAGUCC
rnacentral:rRNA from 1 species